GAUGGUACAGACUGACCCACUAACACAAAAUGUUUGUUCCCGACUCUUUGAUGGAAGAAGCUGCAGCAGCGUUUGCACAUUUCAGAUUAAAACCACAACACCUGCUGUGAUACUUCAAAUGGAGGGGAGACUCGUUCAGCCGCUGCCAGGCCCAAGAUUAUUAUCAUUAAGAGGAAGCAAAUAAAAUGUCCCUCAGACAAGGUUGACAAACCCAGCUCCCUGCGCCGGGCUCCUCAGGGACCAUCGCUUCAAUACGGCGAGGGCAAACAACACCAGCCGAUACCAACACCAUUACCACCUCCUAUAGUUACUUAUCCUCCCCGCCCUCCCUGCGGAGUGCUCCCCUCCACACAGACCAGGGGAAAAAGGCAUUAAGAUCCUCCAGCAGCACAGAGAAAGAGUCCUGCUUUCAUUUAUCACCAUCGCUAUUGGCCCUAAAAGGGACAAAUGUCUGUUCUCCGUCCUCGUGCCGCUGGAAUCGGAGAAACGUGUGAGGUGGAAGUUGUUUCCUGCUCCGGAGACGCUCCACUGCGAGGCUGUUCAGCAGGAAGGGAACAGGUGUGCGGAGCUUCUGGCUUCCACCAUGUGUUCCAGUUGUUUCAUCUGCAGCUGUUCUCCCCCCCCCCUCCCCCACCCCCCCCUACUCCCAUAUACCAUGAUCAAAACACUUUAUUAACCAUAAAGCCUUCUUGUUUGUGCGCCGCUCCGUCUCUGCCUCUUAAGUGUUUUCCUUCAACAGUCACAUAUCAUCGUGCAGUAAUUAAAUCAUGCAGCAGAGGUCAUAUUCACCAGGAAGAUGCAGCGUGUCCUGCUCAAAAGAUAAACUUCCAUUUAUCUGCGUUUGCAAAUUGAUGCUUGUAGUGAUUGAAAUUAGAGUAAAACCAGCUCAGGAAGCAGUGGUUAUUAGUUUUUAGUGAUGUUUUUAAAUGUAAACGUGCUUUUGUUAAUUAUGUAAAAGUUAUUUAUGUGAAUGUGACAUUGACCUGGAGAUUUAACUGGAGCUGAAAUCUUUCCACGUGCUGUUAAUCUGAAACUCCAGCAAAUAAAUCUUUUA